UACGUAGGGGGCAAGCGUUGUCCGGAUUUAUUGGGCGUAAAGAGCGUGUAGGCGGUUAGGUAGGUCCGUUGUGAAAACUCGAGGCUCAACCUCGAGACGCCGAUGGAAACCAUCUGACUAGAGUCCGGAAGAGGAGAGUGGAAUUCCUGGUGUAGCGGUGAAAUGCGCAGAUAUCAGGAGGAACACCGGUGGCGAAGGCGGGAUCCUGGGCCAGUACUGACGCUGAGGAGCGAAAGCGUGGGGAGCAAACAGG
rnacentral:rRNA from 1 species